rnacentral:rRNA from 1 species
AGUGAACGCUGGCGGUAGGCCUAAUACAUGCAAGUCGAGCGGCAGCACAGUAAGCGCUUUCCUCUACGGUUGGCGGGUGGCGGAUGGGUGACGCAUACAUCGGCAUCUUCUUUUUCGUGGGGGAUAACGGAGGGCAACUUCCGCUAAUACCGCAUACGUCCUACGGCUUAAUUCAGUGGUUCUUCGCACUUUUCGCGACUGAUUGAGCCGAUGUCGCAUUAGAUAGUUGGUGAGGUAAAGUCCCACCAAGGCAACGAAGCGUAGCUGACCUGAGAGGAUGAUCGGCCACAAUGGAACUGAGACACGGUCCAGACUCCUACGGGAGGCAGCAGUAGGGAAUAUUCCGCAAUGGGCGAAAGCCUGACGGAGCAACGCCGCGUGAGUGAUGAAGGUCUUCGGAUCGUAAAACUCUGUUAUUAGGGAAGAACAAAUGUGUAAGUAACUAUGCACGUCUUGACGGUACCUAAUCAGAAAGCAACGGCUAACUACGUG